ensembl:ncRNA C53B7.9 ncRNA
CAGAUAAGAAAAAUGAGAGGAAAAUUGAAUGGUUUGGGAGGGUUGAGUUGACCCUCAUCAUUCCAAACUUUGGUGGAUUACAUUACUACUUGACCGAUAAUGAACUGCCAACUGCACGCAAUGAAAGGUUAGGUGUAGUGUUGGUCACCGCAAAAGUUUCUCACGAUUCCAUUAAGAGUCGACGCAAAAGUUGUUACGCCUCGA